GAUGAACGCUGGCGGCGUGCUUAACACAUGCAAGUCGAACGGAAAGGCCGAAGCUUGCUUCGGUACUCGAGUGGCGAACGGGUGAGUAACACGUGGGUGAUCUGCCCUGUACUUCGGGAUAAGCUUGGGAAACUGGGUCUAAUACCGGAUAUGACGAUCUCUUGGAUGGGGUUGUGGAAAGCUUUUGCGGUAUGGGAUGAGCUCGCGGCCUAUCAGCUUGUUGGUGGGGUAAUGGCCUACCAAGGCGUCGACGGGUAGCCGGCCUGAGAGGGUGUACGGCCACAUUGGGACUGAGAUACGGCCCAGACUCCUACGGGGGGCAGUAGUGGGGAAUAUUGCACAAUGGGCGCAAGCUUGAUGCAGCGACGCCGCGUGGGGGAUGACGGCCUUCGGGUUGUAAACUCCUUUCGCAAUCGACGAAGCCUUUUGGUGACGGUAGGUUGAGAAGAAGCACCGGCUAACUACGUG
rnacentral:rRNA from 1 species